rnacentral:misc_RNA from 1 species
UUGAUUCAUUUUUUUUGUGACUCAGAGUAGGUAACAUAUAGCAAGAGUUUUUGCGCCAGCGGCAGGCACCUGCGUGAGCAGGCUGAAGGCCCCGCCCUGGGGCCGCCUGCCGAAGCAACUAAACAGGUAUAUAAACAAAGGGUUUGGGAGUUUUUCAACUCUGUAAUGAUCCCUCCGCUGGUUCACCAACGGAGA